AUGUUCAACGACUGUAUUGCGGAGCUCGGCCUCCGCGAGCUUGAGCGGACUGGUGCCAGAUUUACCUGGACGAACCGCCAAGCUGACCCGACGCGAUCCGUUCUGGAUCACGUCCUAGUCUCCCCGGAUUGGGAACUCAGAUGCCCCUUGGCUUCGCUCCGGGCGAUUGCCCGGAUCGGGUCAGACCACGCUCCUCUCCUUCUCUCCACCGCCGACGAACGUCCCCCCACCUCGGCUAGGUUUCGGUUUGAGCUCUUCUGGCUCAACCAAGCGGGUUUCCACGAGGCGGUCGUGGCCAGGUGGGUCACCGCGCGCUCUUCCCCCCGUGCCAUGUCUGUCGUGGACUCGUGGCAGUUCUGUGCCAAGCUCGCCCGCCAAAUUAUGAAGGGUUGGGGCGCCAACCUUGGCAGAGACCUCCGCGAACGCAAGAAAGCCCUCCUAUCUGCCAUCCAGGCCUUGGACACCCGCGCGGACACUUCCGGGAUCUCCCCGGAUGAGUGGAUGCUGUGCUAUGAUCUUGAGGAUCAUCUCUCUACCAUCUAUACGUAUGAGGAAGCAUAUUGGAGGCUCCGUGGUACCCAACGUUGGGUGCUUCGGGGUGAUGCUAAUACGGCGUAUUUCCAAGUGAUCGCGAAUGGGCGGCGGCGACGGAAUUCCAUCCGUUGCCUUUGGGAUGGCGAUUCCCAGCUUGUCCGCCCAUCGGACAUUCGUGCGCACGUUGAUGGCUUCUACAAAGCCCUAUUCUCCCCCACCCUUCGGGGUGGGGUCGCCCUGGCCCCCGACACCUGGUCGGGUGCCCAGCUUGUGUCCGAUGCGGCUAACGCCGCCCUAGUUGCUCCGUUCUCCGAGGACAAGGUCCUUGCGGCGAUUAAGGGUAUGAAUCCCUCCUCGGCCCCGAGACCGGAUGGACUGCCCGUGUCCUUCUUUAAAGCGUUCUGGCAGACCAUCAAACCCGAGGUCAUGGCUCUCUUCGACGAAUUCUUCUCGGGGACCAUGGACCUCGGGCGCCUAAACUAUGGGGUCAUCACGCUCAUCCCCAAAGUCCCGGGCGCGGCUGACAUCCGCCAGUUCCGGCCUAUCACUGUGAUCAAUGUGAUAUUCCGGAUCCUGGCCAAAGGGUACGCCAAUAGGGUGACCCUUUUAGCUGACACCAUCACCCAUCCCAAUCAAUCGGCCUUCAUUCAGGGGCGAUCCAUUCUGGAUGGGGUGUUGGUUUUCCAUGAGGUCCUUUAA
rnacentral:rRNA from 1 species